rnacentral:rRNA from 1 species
GAUGAACGCUGGCGGCGUGCCUAAUACAUGCAAGUCGAGCGAAGCGGGGACGGGUGAGUAACACGUGGAUAACCUCCUCUAAGACCGGGAUAACUUCGGGAAACCGGAGCUAAACCGGAUACGUAUAGAUGGAUCCGUGCUGCAUUAGCUAGUUGGUAAGGUAACGGCUUACCAAGGCAAUGAUGCAUAGCCGACCUGAGAGGGGGAUCGGCCGCACUGCAACUGAGACACUGUCCAGACUCCUACGGAGGGCAGCAGUAGGGAAUCUUCCGCAAUGGGCGAAAGCCUGACGGAGCAACGCCGCGUGAGUGAGUAAGGUCUUCGGAUCGUAAAACUCUGUUAUUAGGGAAGCGGUACCUAAUCAGAAAGCCACGGCAAACUACAUGCCAGCAACCGCGGUAAUAC